CUUUGGUUUUAUUUUGUUGGUUUCUAGGGCCGAAGUAAUGAUUAAUAGGGAUAGUUGGGGGCAUUAGUAUUUAAUAGUCAGAGGUGAAAUUCUUGGAUUUAUGAAAGACUAACUUCUGCGAAAGCAUUUGCCAAGGAUGUUUUCAUUAGUCAAGAACGAAAGUCAGGGGAUCGAAGAUGAUCAGAUACCGUCGUAGUCCUGACCGUAAACUAUGCCGACUAGGGAUCGGGCGUCGUAUUUCAUGACACGCUCGGCACCUUAUGAGAAAUCAAAGUCUUUGGGUACCGGGGGGAGUAUGGUCGCAAGGCUGAAACUUAAAGGAAUUGACGGAAGGGCACCACCAGGAGUGGAGCCUGCGGCUUAAUUUGACUCAACACGG
rnacentral:rRNA from 1 species